GCCCAAGAGAUCGGGAUAACACCUGGAAACAGAUGCUAAUACCGGAUAACAACAGAUGAUGCCUAUCAACUGUUUAAAAGAUGGUUCUGCUAUCACUCUUGGAUGGACCUGCGGUGCAUUAGCUAGUUGGUAGGGUAGCGGCCUACCAAGGCGAUGAUGCAUAGCCGAGUUGAGAGACUGAUCGGCCACAUUGGGACUGAGACACGGCCCAAACUCCUACGGGAGGCAGCAGUC
rnacentral:rRNA from 1 species